GGGCUUCGAGGGACCAGAUGUGCUCGGUGGAGAGGGCGCGGAAGGCGGAGACGGAGUAGUCGGAGGCGGCGGGGGAGGAAGAGGAGGAGGAGGAGGAGGAGGGGCGGGAGGAGGCGAUGUAGGAGAGGACGGAGGCGAUGGUGAAGAAGAGGAGAGGGGCGGCGGAGGAGGAGGUGAGGAGGGAGGUGGGGGAGGAGGAGGUGGAGGUGGGGGAGGAGAUGAGGGAGGUGGUUGGGUCGAUGGAGUUGUGGAGGUGGAGGAGGUUUGAGAGCAUCAGGAGGAAGGAUUGAUCCAUGGCUCAGGGUGCGGCUCUCUUGACUGUCU
rnacentral:lncRNA from 1 species